rnacentral:rRNA from 1 species
CCCAGGGGGCAUACUUAGUACGGCGAGUGAAGCGGUAAAAGCUCAAAUUUGAAAUCUGGUACUUUCAGUGCCCGAGUUGUAAUUUGUAGAAUUUGUCUUUGAUUAGGUCCUUGUCUAUGUUCCUUGGAACAGGACGUCAUAGAGGGUGAGAAUCCCGUUUGGCGAGGAUACCUUUUCUCUGUAAGACUUUUUCGAAGAGUCGAGUUGUUUGGGAAUGCAGCUCAAAGUGGGUGGUAAAUUCCAUCUAAAGCUAAAUAUUGGCGAGAGACCGAUAGCGAACAAGUACAGUGAUGGAAAGAUGAAAAGAACUUUGAAAAGAGAGUGAAAAAGUACGUGAAAUUGUUGAAAGGGAAGGGCAUUUGAUCAGACAUGGUGUUUUUUGCAUGCACUCGCCUCUCGUGGGCUUGGGCCUCUCAAAAAUUUCACUGGGCCAACAUCAAUUCUGGCAGCAGGAUAAAUCAUUAAGAAUGUAGCUACUUCGGUAGUGUUAUAGCUUUUUGGAAUACUGUUAGCCGGGAUUGAGGACUGCGCUUCGGCAAGGAUGUUGGCAUAAUGGUUAAAUGCCGCCCGUCUUGAACCACGGACCA